AAGGGGCCGGUGCGAUACCGGCGUGGGAUAAGUCGGCGAGUGCCCGCGCAUGCAAAACCCCGACAGCC
rnacentral:sRNA from 1 species